ACAGCCUUCCAAAAAAGUGCAAUCAGAUUUUCAUUCAACAUGAAGAAAAACUGUGAUAUAUGGAACAUGUAAAAACAACAGUAGUCAUCUUUAUUUUAACAGUAGAAUUUAUUCAUGAUUCCUACAUGUCCUUUCAGUAGAAAUAGAAGAAGCACUUUCUAUUCCUUCUUCUGGUUACUAUUCACAUAGUUGGCAGAAUUUUACAGAAAAUGACUUGAGAAGUAACAGGAGUUAGGCAUAAAGAAGGCAUGUUUACACCUCCUAGCAUUUCUUACAGGAAGCAGGGUUCAGCAGGAGCUUGCUUCAGUUCUAAACCAGUAUGACAAAUGCUGGUUCAGCAUCUCUUUCAAAAUAUGUAGACAAAGCUUGAGGUUUCAAAGCUGAAAUAAAUUUCAGAUGAACGACUCUGUCCUGGAGUUAAUCAUUCUUACUUUUCUUUAUCUCAUCUCUUGCAUUCAAGCUUUACUGCAAAUUAAACCCACUACUUCUUGUCAUAUCUACAUCAGAAGUAACCAUUUUAGCUGAUCUCCUUGGUAACAAUAUCAUAAUUCUGAUUUUACAGGCUAAACAAACCUGGUUACGUCUUCUAUCUAUGCUUUUAAGAAUUUUAUGAACUAUCAAAUGUCACUUUUUGGCCUGGUGUCAUGAAAAGAAAUGGAAAUGAAGUCUUCUGGGAAUUUUAAUUCAGUCUUCUCUUUUGAGACCAGGAAACAAGAAAUAUUGACAAUCCAUGGAACUACAGUAUUGACUCCCAGUAAACUGCAUUAUGUUAUGAUGUGGAAUAAUAAUGAAAAACCAUCCAGCCCUGACAGAGAGCUACUGGAAAAAGAGUGAAAAUAGUUACCACGACAGGCACAAACCAGAACAUGGAACAUUCAAUUUGAACAGGAGAAAAAUACUUUCUUUACUGUGAGGGUGACAGAGCACUGGAACAGGCUGUCCAGAGAGACUAUGGAGUCUCCUCUGGACAUAUGCAAAACCCACCUGAACACUUUCCUGUGUAACCUACUCUAGAGAACCUAUUUCAGCCAAGGGUUGGACUUGACAGCUACCAGGGGUCAUUUCCAACCUCUAUGAUUCUGUGGUUCUGUAAUUCUAUGAGUAAAUAAUGAGAAUGUAUUUUUUUUUUCUCAGAACUUGUAUGCUAAAUUUAAACCAGUCUUGUUUAGACCACAUUUUCCUAACCUGCCUAAAAUAAAUUCUCUGAGAUUGUAAAAAUUGAAGUUUAGUAAAUUCAAAUUAUAUUAUCUCUUUCUAUACCUUCAGGCUCGCUGCAUUAUUUUUGAGGAAGAUAGAGGGAAUUUUAUUUGUUCCUUUAAAAUCUAUGUUUGUUGUGCAUUCUCAUAAUCUCUUAUAGGGACUUAGAAAGAACAGCCUGAUAGUUUAAGGUCCCUUAUGGAAAUUAUGUAAAGAGAAAUAUGUACAGUUCUUUGAAUAUUUUUCCACAGCAUGCUGUCAAUCCAUUUCUAAGCUUUUGAAAUUUCACCAUCCUUAAGCUAUCAUUGUUGUUACUAUACAUCUUGUAAAAAUUUGUGUUGUUUUUUUUCAACGCAUGCAUAUCUUCUGGCUUCAUAAUUCAUAGAGACAGUCAUCUCUGCACAAAAUCAAAGACUGAACAAUGACUAUUCUUUGUUUCUAGAUGAUGUUUCCAUGCAGUUAGAGGAUUGCACUGAUUUUUCUAAAAAAAAUACAUAUGUAUAUAGAUAUAUGUAAUUUUCUGAAUAAUUAGUUUUGAUAGCUAAAGUUACUGAGUAAAUUUUCUAUGUAUUGAUCACCCUAGAUUGCAUAAUCAGGAUCUAAAUUUUCUACUGUUUUCUAUGAAGUAUUUAUAUAAGAAAGACUAAUGGAAUGUGGAAUAGGAUUUACUAAAUAUGAUAUUGGAAUGCAAGAUAGCUUGCUAUAAUACAAUAUAAUUAGAAUUGAAGCUAAUAAAUCAAAUAUAAUGAGAGAGUAUAUGAAAGUUGUAGGCCUUACAGUAAUACUCAAGUGAUGUGCAUAGUAGGGACGGGCAGCACCCAGGAGAGACAAAAGAGGAGAGCGACAAAGAGAAGAGCCCAACCAGAUGACCUUGCCAGGAGAUCUAUCUCUUCUCUGACCACAAAGCCCCCCUGGGGAAUGUAGCUCUUCUUCUCUUCUGGACAGGUACAAUAAUUCUACAUUUAUUACUCAAUACCUUUAUGUAUGGGGAACAGCAGUACAUUAUGAUUUAGUCCACUUGGACUGACAGGCCAGUAUUUGUACCUUGACAGGAUGUCACUGCAGCAGGUAUGCUGACUAUUUAAUGUCUCUAGACAGUCUCUUAUGGCCUUCACUAACUCAUAAAAUUAAAUUUCAUUGUCCUCUUGCAAGAAUAGUGAAGACAAAAUUGAAUCUUAUUAUUACAAGAGAGAAAAUGCCUAAUGGUAGCUUCUUUAGUAAAACAUUUUUCUUCAGAGAUGUAAUUUAUAAAGUUUCAUCUUGCAUGAACUAUAUUCAGUGCUUCAAAGCACACAAAUCUUUCACUAUUUCAGCAGUCCUCUUUUCAUGUACUGUGCAAGCCUUCAAAAGUGGCAUAUCAUCAAACCAUCAAGAAUCUACCUGAUGCAUGUCAAAGCUUUGCUAUUCGUAAGUAGUGAACCUAGACACCUGAGCAGUAAGAAACAUAGCAAAAUUUUGCAUUACUAUAAUGUACCCAUGUAUGACUAUCUCAGCAAAGUAGUAAUAGCUCUUGGCAAACAGCAUUCAUCUGGGCUGAAAAGCUGUCAAUGGCAAUAUGGUGGAUGUCAAUUAGAAUAAAGUAUGAGAUGCAAACACAUUUGCCAGUUACAUGCAUUAGACCUCAUAAUGACUGAUGUCACAAAUGUAGUUUGGUGAUAAAUUAUCUUAAGGACAGUAAUUACAUUUUUCUAUCUCUUGAAUAUACCCAUUUUGAAGUUACAAAUUGAGACAAAAAUCUCCCUUUAGACAAUUGAAACAACAGGAAUGUCAGGAGGCAGGUUUACUUGGUUAGUGGUGUUUUGUGUUUUUUUCCCAGCUUGGACUUCUAAGAAAUGUAAGAAAAAAUUCAAUUGUUUUUAUAAUAUAAUAUUUCAGGUGCUGGACCACAUCCAAAGAAGGUCAAUGAAGCUGUGAAGGGUUUGAAGCACAAAUUUUAUGAAGAGCAGCUGAGGGAACAGGAACUGUUCAGCCUGGAGGAGGCUCAGGGGAGAUGUUAUUGCUCUUUACAACUAUCUGAAAGCAGUUUACAGCUAGGAGGGUGUUGGUCUUCCGUCUUUGUGUUUGCUUUAUCAAGUUGCCACGUGCACUUGGAUUCCUUACAAAUAUAAUUUUUCCAAAUAUCCAAUCUAAACUUUCCCUGGUGAAAGGGAAAUUGCCUCUCAUCCUAUCGCUAUUUUUAGAUCAAGAUUUAAUAUAUUUUCCUGAAUGUUCAAAAUCAUUCUCAAUGCUAGCUGACACUUCACUAAGCUUUAUUAAAACAACGUGAGACUUUAUGGACCAGUACACUGAAACAAAGUACUGUGCUUCAAUACUACUCCAAAUAUUGGAAGGUGAAAUUGAGGUACCUUUUGUACAAACGUGAAACACUAUGUAAGUUUCUGGAGGGAAAGACAGAAGUAUUUGAGUUAGCAGCCUACCACUAUUUGAAUAAUACAGAAAUUGAUGAGACAUAUAACAAUCUAAAUAUAAAAUACUAUGUCACAAAUCUUUUUAAAAUGCAACGUUGAUUCACGCAAUCACAGUUUGUCAUUCACAACAUGAACUUCACGUGAAAUUUUUCCACAGACGUGUUUAUUCUGUUCAAAGAAACAGUCAAUAAUAUCUAACAGAUUUUCUUCUAAUUGUUGGUAUAUUUCUCCACUUGUAACUUUUUUUCCCCUAAUUUAUUGAUAUUAAAAAAAAUAUAUUAAAUUACAGAAGACAGUGUUUUGGUGAAGUAACACAGCUUUUAGCCUCCUCAAACUCCCCUGAUUUAACAGAAUCUAGAAAAUAAAGCAACGAUAACAUAUCUUAUGUUCUGUUCCCCAGCAAUAAAAAAUAUUACUCCACGUGGACAUAACAGUUUUAACUAUCUUAAAAAUUAUCAACAUAGAUAAUUUUGGGUAACUAGAUCAGUGUUUUGGUGGUUUUCAGUGGCUGUUCACACUAGAUAUCUGUCUUAAUGUUAAUGUUCAGUGUACACAUGAAAGAUUUGGUCUAUUUCAAUCCCAUUUUGCCAAACAAAAAUUUGUCACUGAGAAAAGUAAGAAGGAUAAUACUUAUCAAUACGUAUCAAUGAGAAUGGGAAGGAAAUAGCUAUUAUUUUUCUCCAAAAUCUGAAUAGAUUAUCUGUACUCAGAGCUAUGCUGAGAGUAAAAGAUUGUAAAAUGAAAAUCUAACCAAUCCUGAUUAGUAAACAUUAUGGUGAGAAAAGCAAAAGGUAAGUCAAGUUGAUUAAUCUGAAUGGCUCUGCAUAUGCAUUGGAGCUGGUGCUUUGAAUAUCCAUAUUAUUUCCUGAAACAUGAGAAAAUAGCCUAUUGCAUGUUCUCUUCGAGCUAAUUUAGCUUUGAGGCUAAUUUGCUUUAAAGGGCAAAAGUGAUGCAUUUGUGCAGCACCCUAGCUUAUCACAAGUUUUUGUAUCAUAUAGGGAAUCAUCAUGCAAACUCAUGGUCAUUUGGCUCUUCUCUCAUGCCUUUAAUAAGUUCUGUAGAAUCCAGGCUUCUAUGUAGGUGAAGAAAUCCAUUUUAGCCACUCUUAAAACUCCUUUAUCAUUCUUUUUCAAAAUGCCAUUAAGAUAUAGUCUGCUGGUGGCUAUAAAAAUGAGAAAUCUAUUAUGUCUUGAAGCUAUACUAAAAUUCAUUAGUGUUAUCCAAUAAAGUAUGGAGUUAAUCAUUAGUUUCAGGUGUGAUAGAUUAGUGCAAUGCUCUGUCAUCACAAGAAUCUUUGUUCUUUUUAUAAUCUAUUCCUAUCAAGUUUUCACACUAGCUACAAAGUUAGUUCUCUCAGUCCCAGGAGGUAGAAUUUUCUUGAAGAACAUGGAAUUUUGGCCAUUCAAGCAUGUUUGCCUGAUCAGGAUUUUGCAGGGAACUUGUGCACACUGGGCUAUGUAUAGCUGCAAAGAAAAUCUGAAUCAGCACAAGCACUAAAAAUAAAAACAUACUUUGGUAAUUAGUGCUUUGACUAUGAAAAAAUCCCUAUCUUCACUCACAGUAUUACAUUCUUGCCUAAAAAAGUACCGUUAAUUGACUUAUAAGAUUACACUUCUUGAGCUAGUAUCUUGAUUUUACAUUAAUAUGAGUAGGAAUGCUUGUACAUUAAUACUGGAAAGAAAAUGCAAAUCACAACAAAUGUAAAUUUGUCUGCAGUUAACAGGCUUUCAAAAGUACUUAAAAAAGUAAAAUCAAAAUACUUUCUAAUUUUUUUCACUGGGUAAAUGUUUAGUUAAUUUUACACUAGAGGAUCAAUUGACUCGUAUACAGGACAUCUAUACGAACACCAUGAGAAUGCUUCAAAAGAAACCACAUUCAAAUUACUAACAUUUUGAAGAACAACUAAAUUGAAAUACUCUGGAGAGAAAAAAGAUUCAGUCUUAAUAGGGAAAAAAAAGAAACAACAAAAAAACUUCAUUCCCUGAUGAAAAAUAAAUUGUCCAAAAGAGCUAAAUAAACAAUCUGUACUUAUUAACAUUGAUCUCAAGUGUCCUAGUACAAACACAGAACCACAGAAUGGCUUGAACUGGAAGAGAGCUAGUCCCAACUGCCCUGUCACAAGCAGGGACAGCUUCUCCUAGAUCGGGUUGCUUGAAGUCCCAGCCAGCCUGACUGGAACACUUCCAGGGAUGGGGUAUCCACAAAUUCUCUGAGCAGUCUGUUCCAGUGCUUCACCACUUUCAAGAAACCCUCCUAAAUCCAAAUUUUCCUGCUACUCUAAAUCUCUGCUCAUUUAGUUUAAAACCAUUUCUCUCAUUCUGUCACUACACUCUGAUACAGAUUUACUCUCCAUUUUUCCUGUAGGCCCCUUUGAAAUACUGAAAGGCUGCAGUAAAGUCUUCACAGAGCCUUCUCUAAACUAAAUGACUCCAAUUCUCUCAGCCUUUCCUCACACCCACAAAACAGUUCAUCCAACAGUUCAUGUUUCAAACAUCUCAUAUAUCUGUUCAAAGAAUUCAAACAGUUGUGGUUAUUCCCAAUUGAUGAUGUACCUAAAUGAAUCUUAAGUAUAUACUAUACGUGUAAGAAAACACAGAACAUUUAAUUCCACAUUCUUUGACCAACAGUGAACUCUAGACUGGCUCAUUAAAAAAUAAAAAUAAUUUUUUUUUUAAAAAAGGGAUGCAAUUUAUGAUUUCAGCUUUUAAUUUAUAAUGAAUAGAUUUUAUCAUAGGAUACAAAAGACAGGCAUGUACUCAAUAGGAUACUUUACUUAAGAAAUGACUUUACGUUCUGCGAUGCUUUUUUAUCCUGCAAUAUUGAUUACCUUUUGAAUUACUUAAAAUGUUUGCAGUAGUACAUAUAAAUUCACAGUACAUGUAGAUCACAGAAGCCAUCAUAACAGUUCUGGAAUUUUCCCCAGAUUGAUUAUGCCCAGAGAUAAAUAUAUUUUGUGAUGAAAUCAUAGAUUGCUUAUGCAUUUCAAGAACACCUAAAAUAGCUGAAAAUUUAGCUAACUAUCCUGUAUGCAAGUAUUAUUCAGAAAGCAAUCACCAUAUUAGACAACAAAUAACACAAAUGUUAUAUGGGAAAUAUCAUAAUAGUACACUUACAGAUCACAGACAAAAUUAAAUCAUAAAAUGUUUAAGGUAACUACGAAGUUCUCAUAACUGGUUUUAAUAUUAAAACUGUGGUAAAGGCAACCUGAGACUUUCAGCAAAAAAUUACCCAAGAGGUAUUCAAAUAAUGGGUUGCUGAUCUAACUUUCACUUACCACGAAACAAUAGCAGUCACCACUACAGCCAGGUUAUUGAGCAACACAAGACCUCUUUCCCUUACUCUUUGAUAGUAUAAAAUAAAUGACAUGAAAGAGACAUGAAUAUUCUGUAUGCAGAGCUUUUAAAAAACUGUCGAUGUCUAACUGUCCUAUUAACCCACAUUUUUGCCAAGGUGUGCCACUUAUUAAAUGGACUCUUCUGCUUGUGGACCUGAAAUAAGUUUGCCUAUGCUCAUGAGUUUUCUUGAAUGAGAAUACUAGAGCUUCCUUUUAAAACACUUACAUUUUCCAAAUGAAAGUCAAAGUACAGUGACAAGUUCAGACUGAAAUUAUAUACUUGCCUUCCAACCAAAUAAAGCAUACUACAAGUAUUUUCUCACUGCACUGCAGUUCCAAAAUGAGUCACUCAGGAUAAUAAAUUCUUACUUAACAUUUGAAGACGUUUGAUUAAAAAGGUGAGAAAUGUUUCUAGUAUCUCUCUUUUAAAAAAAAAAUAUAUAUAUAUAUAUAAUGUCAUAAUUAAACUCACUUUAGUCAUCAACUAUACACAUGAAUGGUAAGAAUAUAUAGACUAAAAAACCUAAACAUACACUAAUGACUACGCUUUAAGUAAUGUACAACUAUGAAUCCAAACAAGCCAGUAAUUUUCCUUAUAUUUAGAGGAAAUCAUGUUUUCAGAGAGAACAUGCACAUUCAUACACUUAUUGUAUUGGAGAAUUUCAUCUAUACUGUAUAAAACAUGAAUACAUAUUAGCAGAUUGACAAAGUACAUUUAAAGGCAAAUAUACAUUUACCACAGAUGUUUCAUCUCCAUAUAUAAAGUAGGAAAUUCUUAGUUAUGAGCAUGAAUGGCUACAGAAAAAUAACUGCCUGAUAUUCUUCCUUCAGUUCUAACAUGAUGAAUGAAACCUGUAUGAAUUUUAUUUCUACAUUAAAAACAAAAGAUCCACACAUGGCCGAAAUCAAGUGUAACAAAUCUUAACAUUCUAUGAUAUUCAUAAUCUUCAAAGUUACAUAAAAUGUGUAUCUUAUCAAAACAUGACAUUCGAGCCCACAUUUUGGUGUGAUUAUUUUUGUUCCAGUAUAGUUCUCCCUGACUAUAUUAUGAAAAGUAGAAAUGUGUACUUAGUAUUCAAAUCUAGGCAUUAGCUGAAUUUUUAUGCACUGCCACUUAACCUAAACAUUAACAGAAUAUUUACACAUUUUUCCUACUCACUUGCUGAACAUAGGACAAAUUUUGAAAGACACCUACACAUAUCAUAAAUUAGUUAAUGGAAAACAGCUACAGUAGAUCAAUGUAACCACAAUAAAAGUAGUUACGUCUCUAAUUCUCUGAUUGAUGUUUGAAACAUGAAAAUUGGCUGUUCUCAAAGAGUACUUCAAAUAUUCUGAAUUUGCUUGCUGGGCUUCCAUCUCUGAACUUGCAGUAUCUCUCUUUGCCUUUAGUUCCUCCUUCAACCCUACAACAUCUAGUGUACUUCUGGUCGAACCAACAUCAAACUACGAAUGGCAUCAUAAAUAUCUUAGGAAGAGACGUGAUUUAAAUUAUCAGAGAGAAAGAGUUACUUCAACAUUUGAUACUUCUAGUGGCAAAUCUAAUUGAAAGAGGCAAAUUUAAUUUUUUUUUUUUUUUUAAGAGUUGGCAGGAGAUCCUGCAAAAUGAAAAAGGAGAUCAUAAAUGAGAUGCUCUUUAUAUCGAAGUGCUUUCGCUUUGACAUCAUAAUCAAGUAGUUUCUACAGUGUCUGCCACAGUUGGCAGGUUAAGUAGGAAAGAACAUUUUACACACCAGAUGUCCAAUUUUUUUGAUGGAAAUGUAAUGUAUGGUUUUGAAGAAAAAAAAAAAAAGCAUACUACCACACUUCUCAGGGAUUUUUAUAUUCUUGUGUUUUUGUAUUUUUUCAGUGUGUGUAUAACUGAUUUUGUUAAUCUGAGACUUAGUAAUUUCUAUGCUGGAUUUAUUUUUCUUUCUUUUCAUUAGUUUUUUGUAUAACCCAUAUCAUCCUUGCCUUAAGAAUUAUAACUGCUUUUAGUAUCUCUUGAGAAAAAAAGCCCUUAUAUUAACAUUAUAUGAUCAGAAAGAAUUGUUCAUCAAAUAUAAAAUGUGUUAAAAUAUAAGAUCAAGUCAGUUUUACAAAUUCAAUACAGAACAUUUUGCUUCGUGAACAAGUUCUCGGACCUAGCUCCAGCCUCUCCACAGUAUUAUUGAGGCAGCAUACCUAUAAAAAUACAGUUUAUCUGCACUUAAUAAAUUAUUUCAGCGAAUUCAGUAAUGGUUUUCCUCUAUUAAAUGAUGAAUAAUGCAAGAAGGCAAUUGGCUAGACUCAAGGAUAUAGGAAAAACACUCUGCUGUGAAUUUGUGAUUUUUAUUAGGUAUCAUAUAUGGAACAACUUAGUUUCAGUUUUUAGGAUCUAAUCACUGACAUGAUGCAAAGAAAUCAAUAUGAAUGUAGCAUGAAAUAGCAACAGAUGAUACAGUGCUACUCAGU